UUGCGAGUUCGAAAAAAAAUGUUUUAUCUGUGAGUAUGCAUGUUUAAUCCGCAAGGCAUGCUGGGAGGUUUGUGUUAGCACGUCCCUACAGACGCAGGUAUCUACUGUUCUCACUUUCCGGACGAGUUACUGGCGAGUUCCUCGGCGAGUUCGUCCCUCUCCGCCUCCAUCUGCUUUCGAGCUCGCUCAGCCGCCGCCAGCAUCUACGUAACAACCAAAGGAAGUUACAGGAAGUUGUACUUGAUUGUUUUUGUGUACUGAAUUUGAAACCCAAAUGGCGGCAUCCUGAACUUCGCCAGCAGAGGGCACUGUUGACCCAGGCUGGUGAGGGUCACACCCGGUCCAGUACUAAGGUACCUCAUGUAGCUGCACUAUGUCCGCCUCCAUGGCCUUGGAUUUCCGCUCGGCCUCUCUCGCUGAGGCCAGCACGUCCUUCUGAGCCGCACGGGAAUCUUCCAGCUCCCGUUGGAGAUCCUUCACCUGACCCUGAGAAGGCAGGACAAGAACUUCAGGCUAGAAGAUAAAGGAACUUGAGGAAGAUGUUUAGUGUUUUGCAUACUCACCUGGAUCUUGCGCAGCUGCUUGACGGCCUCGUCUCGUCCUCUGUUGGUGGCCUCCAGCUGGUCCUCCAUGUCCUUCAGCUCGCCCUCCAACUUCUUCUUGCCGCCAGAUGCCUGACCUCGCUGCUUCUUCUCCUCCUCCAGCUCGGCCUCCAGCUCACGCAACUGAAGAACCGGGGAGAUACAUUAGCUACAAGUACACACAAAUGUAUCUACAGAUGAUGACAAUCUUGGAUCAGUUCAAUUCAAAGCCUGGCGUCCCACCGGGCUUAAUCAUAGGUCCAUUGUUCUUCCAUGCUUCACUGCUUUCAUUCCUAAAAGCAACACCAAAGUGCGUGAGAUCAACUCAGUACCUGCUUGAGGAGCUGCUUCCUCUUCUCCUCGCCCAUCUCCUCCCGGGCCUGCAGCUCCCUCUCGUGCUGGGCUUUGAGGGCCUGACUGUUGACCUCCAGACGUAGCUUGGCAUCCUCGGCGACCUGCAGCUCAUCCUCCAGCUCCUCCAUGUGGGCCUUCAUCUCCUCCACAACGCCCUCCAGGCCACGCUUGGCCUUCUCCAGGUCAUGGACCUGAAGUGGAGAAGAGAACCAGUAAUCAGUAAGCUUCUCUAAGCGUCCUCUCACACAGUGGUCCUACAAAAGCAGUGUGAAAAUGACGUUUCUGUGGCUUACACUUCUUCCCACGUCGUCUUUGGAGCUGACCAGGUCCUCCAUCUCAGCUCGGAGGCCUUUCAUGGUCUUCUCUGCCUCCUCCAGAGCCUCACGGUUCUCCUCCAGUGCUCUUGAUAGAGCCAACACCUUGGUCUCCUUCUCCCUCGCCUCGGCCUCUGCUCGAUCCCGCUCCUCUGCAAACUUACCGGACACGGCUCGCUCCUCCGCCAGCAUCUAAGGAAACACGUGUUGGAAGUUCUAAAGCUGAGGUGCCCUGCAGUCCAGAAGGUCGACAGACACCUCAAGCCCACCUGAUCAAACUUCUUCUGCUUCUUCUCCAGGUUGGAGACAAGCUGCCGCUGGCUGUCCAGGUCCAUGAGGACGUCCUCCAGCUCCUGCUGCAGUCGACCGCGACUCUUGUCCAGCUUGUCGUAGGCCGAGGCCUUCUCCUCGUACUCGUUGUUGGCCGCCUCCAAGUCACGCUGCAGACGCUUCUUUCCCUCCUCCAGCAUCUCCACAGAGCCCAACGUCUCAUCCAGCUUCUUCUUGCAGUCUGCCAGCUGACGACAGGAGACCAGCUCAUUGAAUACUCCGUGACGGCCCGCCACGUUCAGCUUCUGACGCGUCUCCUCUGACAGCAGCUCCUGGAGAAUGACGAGCAAGCACGUGAGGAGAGGUUCUUCAUCACAUGAACAUCCUAUUCUUAGACGAAGAACUCUUCUAUGGUCUACAGGUCUCCCUUCACCUGUGUGUCCUGGAGCUGCGAGGACAAACCGGAAACAUCUUUACUAAGCUUGAUGUUCUUCCCCUCCGCUUCAUUCAGUAGACUGCUCAGGUUGUCCACUUCCAUCUGGCAGAGAAGAAGGAAAGGUAAGAAGGAAAGAUAGUGUACUUGUAGAAGGUCGAGUCCCAAGUUGUGUUUUGAGGGCCUACAGUCAUCUUGGAGACCCGCUCGCCCAGCUCGGUCCUCUGCCGCUCGCUCUCGUUGAAGCGUGAGUUGAGGUCGUUGAGCUGACCCUCCACCUUCUUCUUCUUGUGCUCCACGUCCUGCUUGGCGCUGGCGAGGGAUCGAAGGUCAGCGCUGAGAUCUGCAGACUCUUUCUCCAGAGUCUGCUUGGCUUUCUCCAGACCUGCUCUCACCUGGAGGAGCCAAGUCAGGCAUUUGGUGAGGUUCUCCCUAGAAGAUGUUUAUUCCAAGUGAUUGUGUUGAUGUUUACUCUCUUGGCCUGCUCCAGCUGCUCAGAGAGUUCCUCCACAGCCUGACCGUGCUUCUGCCUCAGGUCUUGGAUUUGGGCCUCGUGACUCCGCCCCUCCUCCUCCAUGGCUUUCUUCAGCAUGGCCACCUCCUGCUCACGCUUGGCCCUGCAGCCACCACAGACACGCCCAAGAACAUCGCAAACAUCAACGCCAUCAUGUGUCUUUGUGUGCGUUCAGGUCCACGGCGGACCACGCAGUCUGACCGAAGCUCCUGCUGGGCGGCGGUGGUGUCCAGGCUGUCCUCCAGCUCAGACCGCAGGGCGUUUAGCUCCUCCCCCAGGUCCCGACGGGCUGCCUCCACCUUCGCUCGGGCUGCCCUCUCAGCCUCCAAGUCCUCCUGCACCUCAGAGAGGAAGGCCUCCAGCUCCCGAACCUUCUUCACAGCCGCCCCGCGUUGGUUGCUCUCCUCGUCCAAACUGUGGACACCAAGCGUCAUUGUGGGCAGGAGCUGGGGGACGCAGCUGGUCACACGUCCCGCCUUCUUACCGGGCCUGCGUGGCUUGCAGCUCCUCUUCCUUGGCAGCCAGCUGAGCUCGGAGCUCGGCUAGUUGGGCCUGCAGGUCAGCCAGCUGCUCGUGGAGCUCCGCCACCUCGGCCUCCACCUUCCUCUUGGCCUUCUCCAUGUCCAGACGACCCUUCUCUUCCUUCUUGAAGCGUACUGGACAAGAAGAACACACGUGUUCAACAUGCUUGUUGGUAGAGAACCUGUUCAAGAGCCGACCGACCCUCCAAGUCGGAGAUCAUGGACUCGUGCUUGCUCUUCAGUUUGGUCAGGUUCUUGGACUUCUCCUCCUCCUCGGCCAGGUUGGAGUUUAAAUCGGCCAUCCUCUCCUCCAGAAGCUUUCGCUCCUACAAGCACGAGAAAUGUCAAAGAUGUUCAACACGUCCAUCAAACGAGACUACAAUGUUCAUACCUUCUGCAGUUUGUUAUUCUGGUCCUCCAUCUGGAGAACAUCCUCCUCCAGUUUCUUCACCUUUCCCUCCACGGCCACCUUCUCCAGCUGCAGCUUCUGACGAGCAUCUUCUUCUUCCACCAAGUGGGCCUCCAUGGUCUAUUAGGGGACAUGAGCGUGUGAAGAUUCAAUAAUGUUGAACAUCUUGUUUCACGCUCAGAGCUUGGAACGAUUGAGCAGCACUAGCCGAGGAGCUAAAAGCUCAUUAGAUGUUUGAACGAAGCUACGUACCUGCAGCUGCUGCUCCAUGUCCUUCCUCUCCUGCUGCAGGGAGCUGCUGCGUUCCUCCUCUUCCUCCAGCCUGGCCUCCAUCUCAUGCAGAACCUCCUCCAGCUCCUGCUUCUUGGCCUCCAGGCGCACCCUCAUCUCCUCGGCCUCGGCGUACAGCUCCGUCUCCGCGUGGAGUUUGGACUCCAGCUGCGCUCGUUCCUCCAUCAGCUACAGGAACACACACACGCUGACUCACAUCCUGGUUGAGAUGUUUGGAGUGGCUCGGUGUCUCCUCACCUGCGUGUGUUUCUGGGUGAUGUCCUUCAGUUCGGCCUCCUUCUUGGCCGCUGCAUCUUUGGCUGCCUUGAGUUCCUCCUCCUUCUGGCCCAUUUCCUCCUCCUGUCUGGUUACCUGCAGCAAGGGCUUCACCUGCAGCAGACCACAAAACCAUCUCUUGAGUGUCACGUCUCUUGAGCAUCAGUGAAGCUGUGGACCUGACUGUCCAACCUUGGUGAAGAGUCUCCACCACUGCCAGUUCUUCAGCUUCAGGUAACAGGCACAGUUCCUCUGGAUGACCUUCAUGGCGCUCAGCUGCUGCUGACGUUUACUGAAAGCCCUGAAGGGGACGGACGGACGGACGGACGGAGACGUGGAUUAGGUACACCAUCACCCCCAAGCGGAGACAGAAGUGUCGUACUUGCGGGCCAGGAAGCCCCUCGCUUGUGCUUGGAAAGAGAUGAUGAUGACGGUGAGCUUGAUGUCUCGUUCCUCCUCCAGCUGAGCCAGCACCCCCGUCCUGAAGAACAUCUUACUCUGGCCGAUGCGAUACAGGUUGGGGUCCAGGUCCAGAUGCUUCACCUGAAGAAUGACAAACAUCAGCAGGUAGGCAUGCAGGCCCGGUGGCCUAAUGGAUAAGGCAUCAGCCUCCGGAGCUGGAGAUUGUGGGUUCAAGUCCCGCCUGGGUCGCAAUAUUACAUCCCAUAAUCAGUAAAAGUACUUUUUACUUUAUUUACAGAAUAUCAAAGUGGCAUUCUUCAGUAUGUUCCUCCCUCACUGGAAGAAGUUUGGACACCCCUGCGCUAAAGUUUCCACAUCUCCGCCCUGCCAUUAAUGAGUUAGUCCUAAAGGCCUGACCGUCUUGAUUCCAGCCCAACCUUCUCACCAUCAAGCAGCAGGCCUGCUUCCCAUCCAUGAAGCCUUUCGGGAUGGCGUUGGCAGCCAGGAUCUCGUACCUGCACACACAUGACAUCCAUUUCAAAGCAACAUCUAAAGUUGGAACGUGAAUCCGGGCUCGGCUAAAACGAGGCAGCACACCUCUGCCGGAACUCCUGGAACACAAUGCGGUUUGGGAAUCCCUGUCUGCAGAUUCGGAUGCCCUCCAGCACGCCGUUGCACCUGAGCUGCUCCAGCACCAGGUUGGCGUCCAUCUUGCCCGCCUGACACAUAAAGACUGAAUGAGGAGCCGCUUUCAGGGCGGCGGCGUGAACGUGGAGGAGGUACCCUCUUCUCAUGGUUGGGGAUGAUGCAGCGCACAAAGUUGGGCUGCGUGUUGUGCAGCGUGGUCAUCAGCUUGCCCAGGGACUCCUUGUACAGCUGGCCCACCGUGCGGAACAUCCCCUUCUUGGAUUUGGUGGAGGUGGGCAUGGAGCUGUCCGACAUCUUGGCCAUGGUCUCCAGGCCGACCACUCGAUCCGCUGACGGGGAAAAAAAUUUCAACCGUCAGCUUAAAGCUUCUUCCCCCGAAGGAGACGUCUGAAGCCUGACCGUCCUUCCAGAGGUCCUGGAUGAAGUUGCUGGAGGAGUUGCUGAGCAGAGCCGUCACGUUGUCGUUGAGAGGGUCCAUGUUCUUCGUCAGCCAGCUGGCGGCGUUGUAGUCCACCUGGGGGGCCACAACUGAAGCUAGUGGCAGCUUAGCAGAAACACGCCCCAGAAGAAGCCAAGGUGGGGUCUCACCCAGGUGGUCUCACCCACCCGAUGCUCACCUUACCAGCGUAGUGCAGAACAGUGAACAUCAGCUUAUCUUUGUGCUGUUUGGGUUUGGAGAAUUUGACGUGACCCGUGUGGGUGUUCAGCAACUUGUCCACAAAGGAGACGUCCGUCGCUUUGGGGAACCAGCACUCCUCGUCCAGCAGGGCCAAGAUGCCCGGGGGGUUGUUCUACCCCCCCCAGACAGUAUGUGAUAAUCUGCGUCAAGAUCUGAUUUGAGACAUUUGUGCUUCACACGUGCUGGUCCUGACCGGCCUCUCGAUGAGCUCGAUGCAGGGCUGCAGGUCCAAGCCGAAGUCGAUGAAGUUCCACUCGAUGCCCUCGCGCUUGUACUCCUCCUGCUCCAGGAUGAACAUGGUGUGGUUGAAGAGCUGCUGCAGGCGCUCGUUGGUGUAGUUGAUGCACAGCUGCUCAAACGAGUUGUCCUGAGAAACACCAAGGAUGAGAAACCUCAGAGUAGCGACGACAGCAGCACAUUUCAAAGAUGGCCGCCAUCCAUCACCUCGAAAAUCUCAAAGCCAGCGAUGUCCAAGAUUCCCAGGAAGGAGGAAGAUUGCCUCUUGCUCUUGUCCAGGGUCUUGUUGACCCGGGCCAGGAUCCAGCGGAACAGACGCUCGUACAUGGCCUUCGCCAGCGCCUCCACCGCAAAAUCAGCCUGGUGGACGGACGGUGAAGGCUUGGAGGACGACGCCAAGACGGGUUUCUGCUGGAUUCUUACCUGCUGCUUGGUCUGAGCCUUCUGCACCACCUCGCGGCCCACCUUGAUUCUGGGGGUCAGGAAGGCGCGGGUGAAGUCGGUCACGUUGAUGCCUUGAAGGUGACAAACCUUCUGGGCAGCUGCCGGCGACCAAAAACAUCUUCUCAUGCACAUGUCAUUGGAAAAGCUGUCAUGUGUCAUCUCUUAUUGGGGUACCCGUGUUGUCCGGCAUGGUGGCCUGCUCGUUGUUCCUCUCCUUCUCAAACUUGAUGUUGCCCAGCUGGAGAACGGUGGACACCACCUUUAACAUCCCUGCAGGGGGGCGGCAGGGACACAUCACAUGCAUCACCGGAGGGCCACCUUCAUCUGUGUCGGCAGUUUUGCUCUACUGGCAUUCCUGGUUCCAUCCUGGAGUAGGACCUGAACCUCACACCUCCAACCGAUUGUACUUCAUGUCUGUACCUAUUCUCUCCUCCUCUGUGAAGCCCAUGAUCUCCAUGGCCUCCAGGGUCUCGUCAAACAGCUCGUCGUCCUGCAGACCAGAUACCUCCACGUGUCCCGCCACCAGGAAACGAUAGCUGCUGAAGUCCUCCAGCAGCAGCUCCUCUGAAGGAGUAAACAAGUCCACGCUAGGACACCUUCUGCAAUUUGUUGGAGAGCUGAGAGGACGGCUCACCUUUGAUCUUGUCUUUGGCUCCUGCCACCAUGUAAUAGAAGAUGUGGAAGGCUCUCUCCGUGUUGGCCUGACGGAUGCAGCGAGACUUCUCCAAGAGGUCUGAUCAGGUCAGGAGAACAUUAAGGUCUCGUUGCAGCUAUUGAUUAAAAAAAGAGCCAAAGUAUUCCUAAACAAAAGGAUACAGGUGUCAAUGUUUGCCCCCACAAGGUAGCCGGUCACGUCAAAGUUGAGCUUGAUGAACUUGCCCUGCCGACACAGGUGGUCACAUGACACCCUUAAUUACCGAGGGAACGCCUGGUCAAAAUGGCGACGAGUGUCGACUUACGAACUGAUGGAAAAUUUACAAAUCGUGACGAGUUGUCGUUCUUGAUGGUCUUGGCGUUGCCGAAGGCCUCCAGGAUGGGGUUCGCCUGCAGCAGCUGCUUCUCCAGCUCCCCCUGCAGGACACAAGCGGAGGCGCACGUCAGACCAAACCAGACGUACGUGGACGUACGCGGACAUAGCAUCGAUACUCACGUAAGCCAGCGAUCCCGCUUGUUGUUGCUGUUGUUGCUGUGGCGGCUGCAGAAAAAAAAAAACAGAAUCACACAUCAGUUUCUCCACAGGAAUUCUUGUAUGUGUUAAAAUGGAGGUGGAGCACCGCAGGGCUGGGUUCUUGGUCCUCUAUGAGUCCAUACAAACUGUGUAGCACUGUCUGUCCUGGUCUAAUCAUUCAAGAUAACCCAUUCAUUUUCUAUAGUGCUUAUCCUCACUAGGGUGGCUAAGGGGUAUGCUGGAGCCUAUCCCAGCUGUCUUGGGGCGAGAGGCGGGGUCCACCCUGGACUGGUGGCCAGCCAAUCACAGGAAAAAGUGGCAAAAUGAACCUAAAUGGCUGCAUGGUGGAGCAAGCCGCCGCCAUGAUGAAGGAUCUGCUCCUACGGAAUGGACAGUGAAUAGUUACUAAGCGGUGUACAACAUAAGCCUGCCUCUCCCUUCCUUGCAACGCCCCUUCCCGUGUCCAAUGAAUCACAGGGAUCAAGGCGCCUUUCUGGGCAGACAUGGGGAGUAUUUGCACCAAGUCACAGUGGUGAACAUCUGGAUAAAGAGGUCCGUGCCGCAUCCGGAGGUUCAAGGACUUGGACUGCAAGGAUGGCGAGCGCGUUAACCUUCAGAGAGGAUGAUGUGGCGGUCCGUCAUGAAAAAGGUUUGGUUACGAUGGUAAAAUAAAGGCGGCCCCCACAUUCACAUCCGAGAUCGGAACCGGCUCAGGCUCAGCACUGCUCCUCCCCCAGCGAGUCCGUGUUCUCGCCCAAGUCUAUGGAGGCCGCUCUCAUCUUUCCCCGCCCCGCCCCGGGGUCGGGGCCCGGGUACACGUCCAGGGCGCCGGAGAUGGACUGCAGGGAGCGGUCCCGGAAGUAGUGGAAGGCCUCCUGGUCCAGGAAGUUCUGUUCCUCGCGGAGGCCCUGCUCAAACAGUUUGCGCUUGUGGCGGAACUCGAUCACCGUUUUGGUGUAGGAGUUGAGCGUGGUGACGGAGGCGGCCAUGCAGCACGUGAAGGAGCCCCAGGCCAUGCUGCUCGGAGGAGAAGACGUCGUGUUACUGGAAGGUUCUACUAGGUUCUAAACACGGGGGAACCAAUGCGGUGACGUCUGUGGUGUGUGUGACACCAAAUGAGCACCAGAGGACGUACCAGAAGGACCACCCAUAGUCCCAGCUGUGAGGCCUCCAGUCUUCAGGACCCAGACUGACUGUGAUCUGGAACACUUGUGUGUACAUCAUGUGGGCCACCAUACCUAGAAGACCUGAAACACACACACACACAGCGGUACAUAUUCUGCUAGAAGUUACUUUCACUUGGGAACGAUUGUCCCAAAACGUUGCGUCCAUCAUUGUCUCCCCCGUGGAAGCGUCCCUCAGUUCCGAACACCAAAUGAUCUGCUGUCAGGCCUCACUUAGAAGUCAUCGCUAAUAAACCGGAGCAGCGGUAACGAUGCUAAUUAGUCAUCAUACAGCCAGCAUUGAUUGAAGCCGCCGGUGCCAUCAGUUACACGUGUGGCUGUAAUCACUCUGCCUCUUACACGCCAUCGACCCCCGCCCACCGUCACACUGUGUGUGUGUGUGUGGCGGUAAAUAACAAGUGCCCCCCCAGAUUUACAGCACGCCAUAAAAAGAGCAUCAUUCCUCCUCCAACCUUGAUGUCGCCGUCCUUUUGGAUUUCCACGAAAUGCGCACACGUGCGUCACAUCACGUGAUUGGAAAAGGGCGACGUGGUCGCUGGGAGUUCAUCCCCCUCGACGGCGAGAGCAACCGACUCUUUAUUUGCCGUCCGCUCAGAAGCUAUGAGGGGGUGCUGGAGCCUAUCCGAGCUGUCUUCGGGCGUAAGGCGGGGUACACACUGGACUGGUGGCCAGCCAAUCACAGGGCACAUAUAGACAAACAACCAUUCACACUCACAUUCAUACCUAUGGACAAUUUGGAGUCGCCAAUUAAUCACCUAGCAUGUUUUUGGAAUGUGGGAGGAAACCGGAGUACCCGGAGAAAACCUCCACAAACUCCACGGGUGGAGGGUGGAAUUGAACCCUGGUCUCCUAGCUGUGAGGUCUGCACGCUAACCACUCGUCCGCCGUGCAGCCCUAGUUCAUGUUUAAUAAUUAAUUCAUUCAUUCAUUUUCUACCGCUUUUUCCUCACGAGGGUCGCGGGGGGUGCUGGAGCCUAUCCCAGCUGUCUUCGGGCGAGAGGUGGGGUACACCCUGGACUGGUGGCCAGCCAAUCACAGGGCACAUAUAGACAAACAACCAUUCACACUCACAUUCAUACCUAUGGACAAUUUGGAGUCGCCAAUUAAUCACCUAGCAUGUUUUUGGAAUGUGGGAGGAAACCGGAGUACCCGGAGAAAACCUCCACAAACUCCACGGGUGGAGGGUGGAAUUGAACCCUGGUCUCCUAGCUGUGAGGUCUGCACGCUAACCACUCGUCCGCCGUGCAGCCCUAGUUCAUGUUUAAUAAUUCAUUCAUUCAUUCAUUUUCUACCGCUUUUUCCUCACGAGGGUCGCGGGGGGUGCUGGAGCCUAUCCCAGCUGUCUUCGGGCGAGAGGCGGGGUACACCCUGGACUGGUGGCCAGCCAAUCACAGGGCACAUAUAGACAAACAACCAUUCACACUCACAUUCAUACCUAUGGACAAUUUGGAGUGGCUAAUUAACCUAGCAUGUUUUUGGAAUGUGGGAGGAAACCGGAGUACCCGGAGAAAAUCCACGCAUGCACGGGGAGAACAUGCAAACUCCACACAGAGAUAGCUGUCUGCGCGCUAACCACUUGACCACCGUGCAGCCCUAGUUCAUGUUUAAUAAUGACCUAUAUUAAUUGUCUAAUGGCGGCCCUGGCUGAUGACCUCAUCAUAAAUAACCAUAAUCAGUAAUCCAUGGAUCAUGAAACCCUCAUGGAUGCUUUCCGACUUCAUGUUCGUAUCGCUUGUAGGGUCGAACCUCCAUGAAGAUACUUGACGUUUCCUUUUGGACGUCCCGGCCUUGGCGGCGGUCGGCUGGCGUUGAGGGUAAGAAGACCGCGGCCCGCUUGUCAUGUGAACAGUCAUACUGGUUGCAGGCGGCGCCAGCUUCUUGGGUAAGAGGUUUAAGACCACUUCAAAUCCCUGGCGGCCAACAGUGACCCCGGAUGACCUCUCACGAACCUGCAUCGCUUGCCGCGUUUCCGAACAAGUGAUGCUGGCAAGACGGCUACACAGGGACACGCCCACGUGCCCAACAUGAGCCAUCUUACCGGAGAGCACGGUGAAGACGGCGGCGAAGGCGUUGAGCUUGAGCCCGUCGAUGACGUUGCUGGAGUGGAAAAGCUCCAAACACAUGAGACUGAAGCCGACCACCAGCAGCAGGAUGUAAAGAACCUCGGACACCACCGACAGCCACAACACGCCUGCACGCCGCACACACACACACACACACACGUGACACCAGGUGAGCUUGUCAUGCAUCAUCAUCACAGUACCGGGAAUACUGGGAAUACCCUGUAUCCAUUGUAUUUGUCGCUUGGAGGGGAGAAACGUGAGCUUUGCAAAACUGAACGGCGCAGCACAAAAAGACGGAUGUUUGAAAGCGGCGAGGCCACAGGGACUUUGGCGCCGCGACCCGCUUUUUUUUUUUUUUUUCCCUCCCCUCCACGUGUUGGCGGCGGACACGGCUCAGCCUCUGCAAUCGUGAGACUCACGACACAGAAUUUAAAAAGAUUAUCUGCUCUGAGCGAGAUGAGGUGGAGUCGCAACGCCGCCCUCCCUUUUCCGUUCCGCACUUCAAGUGUCAUAAAUACUCUGAGUUACUCCAUAAAUAGCCUCAGAAACACAAUCAUAACAACAAUAAUAACUCAUAAGGUCUAAACACACCUUUAUUAUCCCAAAGUAAUAAUAAUCACGGGAUAUGAAUGAAGAGGCGGGACACAAACAGGAAGUACUUUAUCAGAUUGUACCUCUCCCGUGCAUCAUUACAUCUUUAAUUAUGUUUGUGUACAAAGGAGUUUUCUUUUCAGAAGACGCAUAUUUUCACAUCCAAUAGGAAGUUUAUGAACCGGAUUAUUGUUCUGCUAAUAUACCGUAACGCAGGCAUGACCGUGAAUGAAUCAUUUCCAUACGCUGAGAUAGAUUACACUGACGGUAGACGGCUGGACCGUAGAGCCGUAGCAACCGACGUUCCAUGGAUGAUUCGCCAACAACGUUUAUGCUAUUCCAUUCAUUGUUUUUGGAUUUACAAAUGGAAAUAUCAUCUGAUUUCAGACUCUCAAAUGGGAAUAUUUUUUAAUUUUUGCUAUGUUGCCGACCAAAUUCGACCAACUCACUGAGACGCCACAUGGCGAUGGCGUCUGGGGCAUGGUGUGGCCGCUCGGAGCGUGUACCUGAAUACAGUGCACCAUACUGUCGACUGCUCGGAGCGUGUGCCUGAAUACAGUACACCUUACUGUCGGCUGCUCGGAGCGUGUGCCUGAAUACAGUACACCUUACUGUCGGCUGCUUGUAGCGUGUGCCUGAUUACAGUAAACCUUACUGUCGGUUGCUUGGAGCGUGUGCCUGAAUACAGUACACCUUACUGUCGGCUGAUCGGAGUAUGUGCCUGA